rnacentral:rRNA from 1 species
CUACUGGGGUAUCUAAUCCUGUUUGCUCCCCACGCUUUCGUGCAUGAGCGUCAGUACAGGUCCAGGGGAUUGCCUUCGCCAUCGGUGUUCCUCCGCAUAUCUACGCAUUUCACUGCUACACGCGGAAUUCCAUCCCCCUCUACCGUACUCUAGCCGUGCAGUCACAAGUGCAGUUCCCAGGUUAAGCCCGGGGAUUUCACACCUGUCUUGCACAACCGCCUGCGCACGCUUUACGCCCAGUAAUUCCGAUUAACGCUCGCACCCUACGUAUUACCGCGGCUGCUGGCAC